rnacentral:sRNA from 1 species
GUGAACUCCAAUAGCAAAUAAAGACUUGCUUAUAAACUUAGCUGCGGAAAACUAGGAAAGGCUAAUUAAAGAAGUUGUUGAUAUGUUGAUAUAGAUCUUAUUAUGGGCUAAGACAAAAAAAACUCUAUUAAAAGUCAAAAGAGUGUGCCACAAAUUCUCAUUUGUUUUCGUUUCGGCCGUCGCCGUUGGAUCUCGUGUAAGGAUCAAAUGGGCUAUGAGCCUACCACGUGUCAUAUUAUCACUGAAGGCCUCGUUUUCUUCAAUCUCUCGACAACUUUCAUAAUUCCCUUUCUCCCCCACCACUCUCUCCCUCUCUUACCUCAUUCAUAUUAUAAAAUUUGGACUUUUAUUCUUUUGUUAACAAUGUGUUAAUGGGGGGGUUUUCUAGUUCAUUUUUAUGAGUUUGGUGGCAAUAUUCAUUUACUUUGGUUGGGGCAGUUGUGAUCAUUACUAUUCUUAAUCACGCCAAUCCAACUAAAGUCUUUGACUUCCUUUUUCUUAUUACGUUUUGUUUAAGAUUAAUAUGAUAG